CCCCUCUCAGGCUUGUGCCUGGAGAGUUUCCACUACUCUACCAGUCACAACUAUAGGAGGGAGAAUCAAGCAGAGGCCUACCCAUUCCAUCCCUAGCUUGGGCCGUGGCUAGAGAGUGGAAGGCAAUCUCUUACAAGU